rnacentral:rRNA from 1 species
AACGAACGCUGGCGGCGUGCUUAACACAUGCAAGUGGAGAGACGAACCAGGCUUCGGCCUGGGGCAGAGCCGCGAACGGGGGAGUAACACGUGGGUCACCCACCCCGAUGACCGGGACAACCCGAGGAAACUCGGGCUAAUACCGGAUGUACCGCUCCCACAUGAGGGAGAACGGGAACGAUAGCUUCGGCCUUCGCAACGGGACGGGCCCGCGGCGCAUUAGCUGAGUGGUGGGGUAAAGGCCUACCAAGGCGACGAUGCGUAGCUGGUCUGAGAGGACGCUCAGCCACACUGGGACUGAGACACGGCCCAGACUCCUACGGGAGGCAGCAGUGGGGAAUCUUGCGCAAUGCGCGAAAGCGUGACGCAGCAACGCCGCGUGGGGGAAGAAGGCCUUCGGGUUGUAAGCCCCUUUCAGUUGGGACGAAGCUUCCGCGGUUAACAGCCGCGUGGAGUGACGGUACCUUCACAAGGAGCCCCGGCUAACUACGUGCCAGCAGCCGCCGUAAGAC